rnacentral:lncRNA from 1 species
AAAAAGAAUUCUGCUUCCUAAGAAGGAAAAAUGAUUGAACAGCAGGAACUCUGAAAAGGUUGAGCUGAAGGUCUUCAUUACCAGCGGAAGAAAACCCUGCAGCAAAUGAGACAACCAAAAAUACUUUGUGUCUUGGGAGCUGCUCUGCUUUAUAGAAACUUUCUUAAAAUCAUCUGUGAUUUAUACUGGAACUAAAAAUGUCUGUUAUAUUCCAGCUCCUAUGGUAAGUAUCUUGAAAGACCUCUGCCAACAGUCCCAGUGGAGUUGCAGUUGCCUCCAGUCUCAAACAAACAUAGAACUU